rnacentral:rRNA from 1 species
GAUGAACGCUGGCGGCGUGCCUAAUACAUGCAAGUCGAGCGAACGGACGCGAAGCUUGCUUCUCUGAUGUUAGCGGCGGACGGGUGAGUAACACGUGGAUAACCUACCUGUAAGACUGGGAUAACUUCGGAAAACCGGAGCUAAUACCGGAUAAUCUUUUGAACCGCAUGGUUCAAAAGUGAAAGACGGUCUUGCUGUCACUUAUAGCUGGAUCUGAGCUGCAUUAGCUAGUUGGUAAGGUAAAGGCUUACGAAGGCAACGAUGCAUGGCCGAGGUGAGGGGGUGAUCGGCCACACUGGAACUGAGACACGGACCAUACUCCUACGGGAGGCAGCAGUAGGGAAUCUUCCGCAGUGGUCGAAAGCCUGACGCAGUGACGCCGCGUGAGUGAUGAAGGUCUUCGGAUCGUAAAACUCUGUUAUUAGUGAAGAACAUAUUUGUAAGUAACUGUGCACAUCGUGACGGUACCUAAUCAGAAAGCCACGGCUAACUACGUG